AAGACUUUCAGAGGUCAUUUCUAUUCUUAAUUACUAGAGAAGUUUCUCUGAACAGGUACAUCACUGGAAGCCACCAGGAGAAGCCACAAUGUUCUCUCCUGAAUGUGUAGUUUCCCUACAACUGCCAUUUGCCAUUGACAACUGUUCUUUUCCUCCUUUGGGAGAGUAAGGGGUGGAGAAUGCAGUUAUAAUGGA
rnacentral:snoRNA from 1 species